rnacentral:rRNA from 1 species
UACGUAUGGUGCAAGCGUUAUCCGGAUUUACUGGGUGUAAAGGGAGCGUAGGUGGCAAGGCAAGCCAGAAGUGAAAACCCGGGGCUCAACCGCGGGAUUGCUUUUGGAACUGUCAUGCUGGAGUGCAGGAGGGGUGAGCGGAAUUCCUAGUGUAGCGGUGAAAUGCGUAGAUAUUAGGAGGAACACCGGAGGCGAAGGCGGCUCACUGGACUGUAACUGACACUGAGGCUCGAAAGCGUGGGGAGCAAACAGG